CACCAGUGAACUCUAAUAAUAACUGGAAGGCUAAGUCAGGGGGGGAAGUUGAAGCCGUGCUUGAAGCUUUUUUGUAGGUAGACCCAGUCCUUUUUAAUUUUUUUUUUCAAAAUAUGCACAUUUUUCGAUCAGAAAAAUCUUGCCCCAAAAUAUUAGUUAUACUACCAAAUUUAAUUUAUAUCAGUAGUAUUAUAAAUGAAUUUAAUAUUCGCAAAGCAAACAAAUCACGAAUUAGCAAAAAAAUGCGAAAAAACACGGCCAUAAGCUUGAACGGUCAGAAAAACCGCGCGUUUUGGGCUGCUUUUUCUGAGUUUUUGGAAGUUUAAGAUAAAACUAAGACGUCAUACCUCAGGAAUUAUUUAAACCCAUGCAAAAUACAUCUGUAUGCGAAGUUUCAAGAAGAUUGAACGUUUUAAGGUCGAAAAAAAAAGCAUUUGAAAAUUGACAAAAAUAUUGCCAUAUUCAAAGUGCUCAUAGUGGCCAACAACAUGCCGAUGACGAAAAUAACAUCACUUGAAAAACGCCAAUUUAUUUAUGUUUAAGAGCGACUAAAACAAGGACUAAAAGCUCAGGAUCAAUAACAAUACCUGGGGUUUAGUACAACAUAAGUUUUGGGACUGGCAAAAUGUUUUAUAGUAUAUAUUUUUUAGUUGAACGGCGAGAUUUCCUUCGGCACAUCCAAACUUUCGUCAUUUUUUCAAAAUACAAAAGCAAAAUUCCUUACUUUUUGCUGCAGAGAGAUGUAAAACAGUCGGAACUAAUCGGAAACUUGGUUUAAAUCCUAAGUCAUUGUUGUAUUCCCAUGGGAAAAGUGUUUUUCUUGCAAAUUUUUGCUCGAAAACAAACUUUUGACAGAAUUUUUUUCACUCCUCGAAACUCUCCUUAGUCCUUUUGAAAGCUGAUUUUCCCGCGCGCCGGCUUCAACGAA